rnacentral:rRNA from 1 species
CCGGCACGGGUGAGUAACACGUAUCCAACCUGCCGUCUACUCUUGGACAGCCUUCUGAAAGGAAAGAUUAAUACAAGAUGGCAUCAUGAGUCCACAUGUUCACAUGAUUAAAGGUAUUCCGGUAGACGAUGGGGAUGCGUUCCAUUAGAUAGUAGGCGGGGUAACGGCCCACCUAGUCUUCGAUGGAUAGGGGUUCUGAGAGGAAGGUCCCCCACAUUGGAACUGAGACACGGUCCAA